UUUAAGUCCUUCUUAAAUGAGGCCAUUUACCCAAAGAGGGUGCCAGGCCCGUAUAACGUUAAUGAUUACUAGAUGACAUUUCCAAAGAGUCGUGUUGCUUGAUAGUGCAGCACUAAGUGGGUGGUAAACUCCAUCUAAAACUAAAUAUAACCAUGAGACCGAUAGCAAACAAGUACCGUGAGGGAAAGUUGAAAAGAACUUUGAAUAGAGAGUUAAAUAGUACGUGAAACUGCUUAGAGGUUAAGCCCGAUGAACCUGAAUAUUCAUUAUGGAAAAUUCAUCAUUAUGACUGUAAUAUUUAUAAUAUUACMAUAAUAGUGUGCAUUUUUUCCAUAAAGAACAUUGUAAUCUAUUAACAUCACAUAUAUUUAUUAUAAGAUCAUUAGCUCUAGUUUAUUCAAAUUAUUUUGCUUGCAAUUUAACAUAGAAUAAAUGCUUUUGAUUUGAUAAAGUGUUGAUAGAUUUAUUAUAUAUAGUGCUGAAAUAUUUAUAUUUUAUAAUAGCAUAUUUAUCAUUGAUUUUUAUGUUUAUUAUAUGCACUUAUAUGAUUAACAAUGCGAAAGAUUCAGGAUACCUUCGGGACCCGUCUUGAAACACGGACCAAGGAGUCUAACAUAUUUGCAAGUUAUUGGGAAUAUAAAACCUAAUAGCGUAAUUAACAUAACUUUAAUGGGAUUAGUUUUUAGUCUAUUUAUAGUCUAUUAAUUCAAUCCCGGGGCGUUCUAUAUAGUUAUGUAUAAUAAUAUUUAUAUUAUUUAUACCUCUAACUGGAGCGUACCUUGAGCAAAUAUGCUGUGACCCGAAAGAUGGUGAACUAUACUUGAUCAGGUUGAAGUCAGGGGAAACCCUGAUGGAAGACCGAAACAGUUCUGACGUGCAAAUCGAUUGUCAGAAUUGAGUAUAGGGGCG
rnacentral:rRNA from 1 species